GCGACCCCAGGUCAGGCGGGACUACSCGCUGAGUUUAAGCAUAUCAAUAA
rnacentral:rRNA from 1 species